AUUUUUCGUUCCUCCUUUCUUUGGCCCCACCGAAAUCUACUCAUCAUCGUUUCAAUUUCAUUGCAUAAUGUAGAGGGAAGUUUGAAGCAACUCAUAGCAUAGGAGGAGGUUGCUAAAGCCACUGAUUUGAGGAGGAUUUCUCUUCCCCCUUGGGAGAACAUACCACUCUUCCAACUUUGUAAUUUCAACCAAAUCUUAUGUUUUAUUUCAGAGAAAGCUCGGUUUUGGAUCUACCGAUCAUAGGUGGUAAUCCCAAAUACUUUUCAUAUUGCUGUAUUUCAGGAGCAUUCCAAAGAGCCAUAAUUUCUUGCUUCUUGUCUGGCUUUACAUUUGCACUAAAGACCAGAGAGGUUUUAUCUCUAUUCAACUGUUGACCCGAUGCAUCUUCAUAGCUACUAAAGAGAGCUUGCAGUCAAGUAGUGGUUUCCACAUUUGCUUCACAGAAAAUCAAGUUGUCGUCUGCAAAGAGAAGAUGAUUCAAGCUUAGAGCUCUUCUACACACUUGAAUACCAUUCACUAAUUUAUUUCUUUCCACUGUAUUCAGUAGAUUAAUCAAUCCUUCGGUACAUAAGAGGAAUAGAUAGGGCGAUAUUGGAUCCCCUUGUCUCAACCCCCUUGAGCGGAUAAUGCGACCCAUGGGAACACCGUUAAUGAGUAUCGAGAAAGGAGUAGUAACACGUCAUCACCAGUUUGAUAAUUUUUUCAUGGAAGCCCAACUUAUACAUAACCGCCCCAAGAAAAGACCAUUCAACUCUGUCAUAUGCUUUACUCAUGUCAAGCUUCAGAGACAUGUAACCUUUCUUGCCCUUCUUCUUUCUUCGUAGGAAAUGGAAUACUUCAUAGGCCACAAGCACAUUGUCUGUAAUGAGACACCCUUUAAUGAAGGCUGACUGUGUUUCUGAAAUCACCAUAGGUAGUACUUUUUUUAUCCUGUUAGCCACAACUUUUGAAACCAAUUUGUACAUGACAUUACAAAGACUAAUUAGUCUGAAAUCCUUUACUUUUUGAGGAUUUUUUUUUUAUCUUCGGGACAAGUGUAAUAAAAGUGUGGUUUACAUUUUGGGGAAACUCAUUGGUAUUUAAAGCAUGUAAUACAACAUUUGUAAUAGAGAAACCAAUAUGAGGCCAAAAUUUUUGAUAAAAAAUAGGAGGCAUACCAUCAAGACCUGGGGCUUUAGUAGGAUCCAUCUCCUUCAAGGCUUGGAAGACUUCGUUUGCUGUAAAAGGUUGAAUCAAUUCCUCGAUCAUUCCACGGGUUAAUUUGCAAUUUAUGUUCUCCAAAAUGGCUGCUUGAUUCCUCGAGCCUGUGGAGGUGAACAUAUUAGAAAAAUAGUUUAUUAUCAUGUGGUUGCACGCCUCUCCCUCUUGCCAAUUGCCCUGGUCAUCCAAGAGUUUAUUAAUUGUAUUUUUCCUUCUUCUUUGGGAAGCUUUUGCAUGGAAAAAUUGAGUGUUCUAGUCACCCUCUUCAAGCCAAGUAGCUCUAGAUCUUUGUUUCCACAUAAGUUCUUCUCUAUCCAUCCAAAUUUGUACUUCCUCAGUGGCCUGCCGAAGAUCAUUUGAGUUUAUAGUUGUAGGAUCCUGCUUUUGAAUAUGCUCAAGCUUUGUUUUGGCGUUGCUAAGUUUCACUUGCACUUUGCCGAAUUUAGAUAUAUUCCAAGACUGGAGCUGAUUGCUGCAAAGUCUAAUAUUUUGCAUAAUAUUAUUUAGGUCGUGAGGGCAAGAGUCGGACCAUUUAUUCAGUAUAAUAUUAGUGCAUGCCUUUUUGCUAAUCCACAUUGACUUAAAUCAAAAUGGUUUAAGUGUUUUGAGAGUUUGGUAAGUACCAUGAAAAUGGAUCUAGAGGGGCAGUGUCUGAAUAUAUAGUGGAGCCAUGGGUAAUCGUAGCUUCCGGGAACAAUUGACAUCAGGAGGCAUUGGCAGUAAAACGGUCGAGCCUCUCAAAAAUCUGUGUAGAGUUUUGUCUUCCAUUGUACCAAGUAUAACGAGGUCCUCUAAAGCCAAGAUCUUUUAGUUCAAAAUCAAAGAGCAUUUGCUCGAAACUUUCUAGUUGUUGUUGAGGUCUGUCCCGACCUCCCCAUUUUUCCUCAUUAGAUAAAAUUUCAUUGAAGUUGCCAAAGAGAAGCCAAGAUUUUAAAGGGUCUCUCUUCAUAUUCCACAAUAGAUUCCAGGUUUC
rnacentral:lncRNA from 1 species